rnacentral:snRNA from 1 species
AUGCUCACUUCGGUAGCACAUAUACUAAAAUGGAAACAAUACAGAGAAGAUUAGCAUGGCCCCUGUGCAAGGAUGACAUGCAAAUUUGUGACACGUUCCAUAUUCUC